CACCCCCAUUUAGGCAGGAUUACAACCCAGUAAUGAACAGCCAUAACCAAGGGAAGAAAGAAUUAAUGAAUUAAAUCAGCUCCUACUAGGAGAAUAUCUUCAGCAAAGGGGUUUUACCUCAGGGGCCGGGGUGGUUCUACCCAGCUCUGGAAGGUUCUGGAACCCCUCAGCAGCUCUGUGAAGGCAUCUGUAGUGACUUGUACCUCAGAUGUUGGGGGAAAUGGAGAGAUCGAUAUUUCCAUGUUCGUAAAGAGUUGUUUCACACAUAAAUGAGCCUUGCCUGAACCAAAAAGGUCUCGACACUCUGCAACAGUACACCAAUGCUUUCAAAAACAUCAGUCCAACCACCACAUUGGAGAAGAGUCCUGAAAGGUGCAAACAUCAUGGGAAUCAAGAGCAGCAUUUAGAGUACUUUAAACUAGGCAUCCACUCAAGUUUUAUCUCCACAACAAAACAGAAGCCUCUCUUUGUUACAGCUGCAACACUGGCAGCAUUGACGGGAGUACUCGUGUCCAAAAAUAACCAAGCAAGUGUCCAUUCUGCUUGGAGCCAUCUAGCAUCAUGUCCUCAUGCUUGGCACAUCCCAUGAAAUACUACACCUUCUCUGAUGGAGAUUAAAAAAACCAAGAUCCUAACUACUUGUAUACGUUUAAAGGGGCAAUGACUUUAUUUUCCUCCACGUGUUAUGUAUUUCUUAAGCAUUUACGAUACCUGCAUAUCUUAGCACCAGUUGUUAUUUUCUGUGUUCUUGGCUAAAUUCCACCAAGGGUAUUUACUUUCUACCGUGAAUUUCCCAAGCAGUUUUAUCUGAUGUUUUCAUUUUGUUGUCUUUUGCAAUUUUUCUGACAUCACAUCUUGUAUGCCCAGCAUACAUUUUACACCUAAACCCAAAUAAACUUCAGCUCUCACAUAUUAAAUAACAAUCCCAGUAUCAUUCAUGUAGCAUCAAGAGGUACAAAAAGAAGUCAGAGUCCUUAAUGUUAGGUGCAGUAGGAGAACCCAAACACACAAAACCUAGCUAAAGACACCAUUAUUGCUUCUGCUUGUAGAAAACAGGAAGUAAGAAAUUAAAUGAUUUGUCUUGCUCAUGAUGUGAAAUGUGAAACAACAGAGAACAAAACUCAG